UGCCCGGUUAGGGGAGAGCCUCACCGGGGGUCCCGCACCCCGCGGAGGGUCCCGGCUGCGGGACCCACGCGGCCGCGGGAAUUGCCCCUGGCUGCGUGCGAGGGUCUGGGGCGGGGGCUGGCCCACCCGGGACUCCGAGGGGUGCACACCCCCCUCGCAGGGCUACCCCAGAAGUGAGGGACACGCACCCGACCCCGGCUGCGGUUGUGGGGCCGCGGGGAGCCGAGCUGUCGGGCGUCCAGCGUCUGGGCUAGUUGCCUUCCCCCGGCCCGCAGCCCCGGCAGUAAUUGCCCCCAGGGAGGGAGAGCAGAGGCCGCCAGCUCACACCCGGGCGGCUGUCUGUCGGGGCAGGAGAGGUGCCCAGGUGUGUUGUAUCGCUGUAUCCCGUGAUGAGGGGCAAGAACUCCCACAGCUCACACAGUUGCUCUAUAAACAGGGCAGCAGCAGCAGUAAGAGCUGGUUUUCACGCUUGUCUCUGUCCCUGGUUUUCUGUGUUUUCAUCCUCCAGCCUGCCUAGUGAGGAUGAUCAUCCCUGACCUGCUUCUGUAAAAUGGCUCAAGGCCCUGGGAUUGCUCAUGGUGCUUCUUUUGCCUUGUAUGUAGCCCAAGGAUGUUGGGGCGCUGCGGGCAGGGAGGAAACCCUUUCUACAAACACCCGCUGGCAGAAGCGCUGUCCUUGAGCAGCUCUUUGCACAGCAGUGUGCAAAUCCUCCAGAAGAGUCCUGCUUUGUCCAGUGCACCCGGCGUUGGAUGCAUCCAGCCGUGCUUCACAAGCCGAGUAGAAGCAAGAUCUGCCUUCAUCAGGAGCUAACAGAAGCGAGACCACGAAAAGAACAGACACAAAUGGCUUUAAAACAAAGACCGGUGUAUUUCUACUAGACUAUUUGAUACAGAGGAUGCCUGUAGGAUGAAUGGCUGAGUAUAGAUGAAGUGGAUAACAACAGCAGCUUCCGCCUCAUGUUUGUAGCUGGGUUCCUUUCACUUACUACGGAUGUGUCUCAGUGAGGCUCAACACAGAGGUCACUGAGCCACACUGAAGCCUCUAGGGAAGUGCCAAGGGGGCUGCAAGGAAAACAGACUACAGAAUGAGAAGCAGAACUUCUUGGGAAGCCCAAGACUACUUGCUCUUCAGACUGUGUCAGAAGACAUAGAGGAUGGGUUUGUUUGAGGACUAGUACAAGAAGAAAAUACGCUAUGAUGAAAUAGUCUUACCAGAAGUUUUUGGGCUGGAACUGGUGGCUCUCAAUACAGGCAAUAAUUGUCUGCUGCCCAUCUAUAGAUUUACCAUAAACCUGUAUUUAGAAAAAGAGUUAAAAAGGCCCAAGAGCUGAGGAAAGCCAUUCUUAAUUUCUGUUCUUGGCAGCAUUGUGGAGGCUUGCUAUUGUGGUAUCUUACUGGAAACACAUACCACUAAUUGUCUAACACCUCCACUUGCACGUAUGUACAAAUAACGCCUCCUUUUUAUUAACUGCAGGUGUUAAGGUGCGUGGCAGUCACAACUAUGAAAAAUAAGGUCUAAUACGUCUUUACCACUGUGUGCAUACCAAGAUAUUUGCACCCUCUUUGGAACUUGUUAUUCCAAAGUUAGCAAAAAUGCUAGUGAGGAUGGAGAAUUGGAACAGCACUGCCCAGCACAAAGUCCACUCAAGGUACUGACUGACAUGGAGCAAUGAACUUUCAGUGAAUCAAGAUGGAUACUCAACAGUACAGAAGCCAUUGGGGUAAUGAUCUUUCACAUAAGCUCUCAGUGCACUGUCACAGGCAUCUCUCCAUUGUUUUAAAGCUGAUUCUGUGUCCUCAGGCUGGGGGUCACUUGCUUCUUUCCUUAAAUGAUCAAACUUAAAAGAAAGUUUGUUUCUUGGGUCUAAAAAUCUGCCAUUGCCCAGAUCACCAUGUUCUGUGAUUAAGACCUGUAAAAGAAGUUGAAAUUAAGAUACACUCACACUGCUGUAAAUGUGCUGGUUUGCAUUUUUUUCUGACUAUUUGAAUAGAUAUCAAUGUUUCAACAGAUUCUUUCAUUGACCUAUAAUAUCACAUAAAGAAACAAGGAUUUUUGGUAGUAAUUUCAACUAGGAGUAGUUGUAGUGAGGCUGUAGGCAAAUUCUCUGCUCUUCACAGUAAUACUGCACUUAGUCUUCUGUCCCAGAAAUGGCUGUAUUACAUUAAUGUAUAUAUUUAGCUUAAAGUUGGGCACCCUUACAAUACAAACAAGUGGUUUUGCUUUUGAAGUUAUUUUUGCUGUUUCCUUCCCCAUUUCUAAAGGAAACAAAGAAUUUUACUCUGAAAUUUACCAUUUAUUGUCAUGGUCCGUGUUGUAAUAGCUCUCCUGGUCAAGAAGGGUAUAUAGAUGUGGCUACUUCUAUUAUACACAAACUAAAGUACACAGCAAAGCAGCACUGUACCUUCCCUCCCCUUUGUCUUAGUCACCAUAAUUCUCUGGCUUGCCAAACAUUGACUUUGGGGGUUGGGUUGUACUGUAACUUUCUCUUGUCAAAGCUAUUUCUAUGGACAGUCCUCUUAAAAAUAUCUGCCUCCCAUGAACAUAUCUGGGACACCAGAAAAGCUAGGUCAGUACUUGGCUCAGAGAAUAGAACAGAUGGUCAGGCCAGCUUUCUAUCUUCUGCAGGACUUGCUGCUUGUUCUCAAAAAAAAAAAAAAAAAAAAAAAAAAAAAAUUGUUUUGCUGGCAUAGACUGGAUAGUAUUAGAUUGGUAUAAUCAAAGAUACAGUAUGCUUUUUAGUGUAGCUGGGAAUGGAUUAAAAAUGCAGAAAAUGGAAAAAAAACCUAUUAAAGAUCUACUACUGAUUGUCAUUAGGAACUGUAAGCAGGUGGCAACAUAAGGAUUUGGAAGUGAACUUUAAAUAAACAGUAAUCUUUAAUCAUUCCUACUCUAAGUAGAAUUCCACUGACUUCAGCAUGGAGCUUUACUUAAGGAACAAUGAAUUAGAGUUACUAGGUAGUAUCAGACAAUACUUUAAGAGAACAUUUCACCUAUGCUUCUUCUAUAAGAACAAAUGAUGUGUGGGGGAAGGAGGAGAGGUGAUAAGUUUUGAGUAGAAUUAAACUAGUCAACAUCUUGAUGAAACAACAUUUUUAUUGGUUUUGCACAGUGUAGUAAUACAAACCUCAAGUGUUUUCUCUUACCUGAUCAUCAUACCCUUCUAUCUUCACCGGAGUGAACUGAUCCAUGUUAUACUGUGCAAAUGCACUGUUAAGAAUUAAAAGAACAUGAACUUUAGCUGUACAUGCACAUUUAUUUUGACUCAAGAAUAAGUAUAUGGUGUGAUUUACAUUACAGAAAAUUUCAACUUGAUUUGGCAAAUAAUACACAUAAGCACUCUUUAAGGAUUUUUUAAAUACCUUUUAUUGACGAUAGCUAUAAAACCCCAGGUCUAAAUAAACCCAGGUUUAUUUAGUGAUGCCCAGGAAAGUACAGAGUUCAAAAGUAGAACAGCAGGCAGCCUGGGGGAAUAUGAGCAAGGCAAGGCAAAACAGGAACACCCCAGCUACAAUUCGGACAGCAGUAAGGUAAACAAAUGAGUAGUCUAAUAUUUAUAACAAUUUUCUUACGUAAAGACCUGCUGACUGACAUGUCACCUAGCUUGAAGUAAAAUCUUAGCAUCAAAAAGCUUGUAUGCAUAACCUUUAAGCACCUUCUGAUGAAACUGUGCAAGUAAACAAGGUAUUUUGAAAGCUUUUUUUUUUUUUGAGAGCAGUUCUUUUUCUAAUCAUCAGCUAAGGAUUACUCAGUAUUUCAGGCUUCACUUGCUUUACAAAUCAUGCUUCAACAAGAUCAGACAUUCCUGCUGUUGCAGAGUUAAACCUUUUGGCAGAGUGCCUUCCUGUCAGUUUUAUAUGGCCUCUACAGCACAAAUUCUAAUUUGAGGCUUUUAAUAAGAAUCACCCAUGCCUUUCAUUAUGUAUUUUGUUGGGGGGGGAUAAGGAAUUACAGAAGAUUGCUCUCAAUACAACAAAUGGCUUGCAUGCAUGACACAAUGAUGGGUGUAAGAAAACAUAUACACUUCUGAUGGUAAUUUGACUUGUUUGAAGUAUCAAUACUUACUGUGCUGCUCCUUCCCUGAGAAGAUUAUCAUUGUUGAGCAAUAACCGGACAUCUGGAGAAGAGAGAAUUCAGGACACUGUGAUUCCCUGUGAUGCAGCUUGUUUGAUGCUGAUGACUGGCUGAAGGAGAUGCCAUUGCUUCACAGCAAACAGCGUGUGAAGGAUGAGCGGUUGAUACCUCUAGAAAUGGAGCAGUAAACCAAUUACAUCAACUGCCAUGGGACUGCUUCCAGAGUUAAUUGUGCCUCAUGGACUUUGAAAAGCCACUGAUGUGCUUGGAGUGCAGAAGGUGGUAUGAAGAUAGAAAGUAAAAGCUGGGAACUGACAGAAUGGGGGAGGUGAUGGGAAGUGCCAAAAUGAACCAGAGACAUCAGAUGCAGCCUCCAAAUGAAGCCAUCCAAAUUUCAGCAGGUGUUUUUGGUGGGUUUUUUUUUGUUUGUUUGUUUGUUUGUUUUUUCUUUCUUGAUCCUCUAAUGCUGCCCAUGUCACUUCUAACCCUGGGCAGUAGACCCACCACCUGUGCCAUUCUGUGGCAUGUUACUCCUCUCAUCUUGAACUAGUAUUUCAUUGGAAACUACUGUAGUCCUGCCAUGAACUGUCAGAGUGGUGGAAGAAUUCAGGCAUGUGGAACUGAAAGUGAUACAAUAAAUAACUGAAAAGGCCAACUGUAAGGAAAAUACCUCAAUGUCUGCAAACUUUGAAGCUGGAAAACAAAACCCCAUUCUCUUCUAAAAGUAAUAAAGCUGCAUUGUGUUCUGAAAUCCAAUAUACACGUCUUGCAUUGUUAGAAUUUAGGUGGUCUAGGUACUGAUUCUGUUGAAACUACGAAGUUAAGUUUAUGGUUUUCAUAAUAAAAUAUUUUAUGUUUUUUACAGGACCAAAGGGAAUAGAAUUAUCUUGGAAGACUUGAAACAGGAAAUGUCACAAAAUUAAACCUCUCUCUUAGAAUAAUAAAAAUGUCACAUUUCUUCCAAUAAGUACAGCUAACAAAGCUGUGCAAUAAGCCUUACUUGCUCAACUAGAUGUUUAUUGAAGAUGACUGCAGAACAGUGCUCAUUACAACUCUGAUUACUUUUUCUGCUUCUCAUUUUGAGCAGUAAAACACAGGAGUGUGUAUAUAGCCAACUGCUUCAGCUGAAUUAUUGCCAGAGCUGGAAAUAACUUGCUUCUCUCAACAGUCUUCCCUGUUUUAAUUAGAAAUUGUUGUUUGUAUUGUUUGUCACAUAAUGAUUUAAAGCAAGUCAUGAAAGGAAAUAAACACCUUUCCAAACAAA